CUACGGGUUGCACCAGUGGGGAAUCUUGCGCAAUGGGCGAAAGCCUGACGCAGCCAUGCCGCGUGGAUGAUGAAGGUCUUAGGAUUGUAAAAUCCUUUCACCGGUGAAGAUAAUGACUGUAGCCGGAGAAGAAGCCCCGGCUAACUUCGUGCCAGCAGCCGCGGUAAUACGAAGGGGGCUAGCGUUGCUCGGAAUUACUGGGCGUAAAGGGAGCGUAGGCGGACAUUUAAGUCAGGGGUGAAAUCCCAGAGCUCAACUCUGGAACUGCCUUUGAUACUGGAUGUCUUGAGUGUGAGAGAGGUAUGUGGAACUCCGAGUGUAGAGGUGAAAUUCGUAGAUAUUCGGAAGAACACCAGUGGCGAAGGCGACAUACUGGCUCAUUACUGACGCUGAGGCUCGAAAGCGUGGGGAGCAAACAGGAUUAAAUACCCUCGUAGUC
rnacentral:rRNA from 1 species